rnacentral:rRNA from 1 species
AACGAACGCUGGCGGCAUGCCUAACACAUGCAAGUCGAACGAUGCCUUCGGGCAUAGUGGCGCACGGGUGCGUAACGUGUAGGAAUAUGCCUUUCGGUACGGAAUAACUCAGGGAGACUUGAGCUAAUACCGGCUAACGUCGCAAGACCAAAGAUUUAUCACCGAAAGAUGAGCCUGCGUAGGAUUAGCUAGUUGGUGAGGUAAAGGCUCACCAAGGCGACGAUCCUUAGCUGGUCUGAGAGGAUGAUCAGCGACACUGGGACUGAGACGCGGCCCAGACUCUUACGCGAGGCAGCAGUGGGGAAUAGUGGACAAUGGGCGAAAGCCUGAUCCAGCAAUGCCGCGUGAGUGAUGAAGGCCUUAGGGUUGUAAAGCUCUUUUACCCGGGAAGAUAAUGACGGUACCGGGAGAAUAAGCCCCGGCUAACUCCGUG